rnacentral:rRNA from 1 species
GAUGAACGCUGGCGGCGUGCCUAAUACAUGCAAGUCGAGCGAACAGACGAGGAGCUUGCUCCUCUGACGUUAGCGGCGGACGGGAGAGUAACACGUGGAUAACCUAACUAUAAGACUGGGAUAAUUUCGGGAAACCGGAGCUAAUACCGGAAAAUAUAUUGAACCGAAAGGUUCAAUAGUGAAAGAAGGUUUUGCUGUCACUAAUAGAUGGAUCAGCGGCGCAUGAGUUAGUUGGUAAGGUAAAGGCUUACCAAGGCAACGACGCGGAGCCGACCUGAGGGGGUGGACGGCCAGACGGUAUGAGAGGCACGCCACAGACUCCGGCAGGGAGAAACGGUAGAGAAUCUUCCGGGAUGGACGAGUGCUGAACGGUGCAACGCCGGGUAAAUGAUGAAGGUGUUCUGAUGGGAGAACGCUGUAAGUAGGAGGGUACAAAAGUUUUAGUAACUAGGCACAUCUUGACGGUACCUGGAGAAAAAGCCACGGCUAACUACGUG